AGCUGUGGUACCCAUUGUUCAAAAGAAGAUCCCAUGGUUGUGGCUCACAUCACCCCAGGGCAAGCUCUAAAUCUGGUUUUUAAGGUGGAAAUUGCCCAUGGCCAAGUUCCCCUUGGGGAUUCCACAGGAAGGACAUAACCCUCCCUAACUGAGGCGGAUGUACAGUCUCCAUAAAUCAGCCCACCAUCCUCCCAGCGUUGGGUCCUGUCCAGGGAAGGCCUGGCUUGUGUUUGGGGGCUGCAGUGGGAGCAGGGCUGUGUCUGAGCAGACUCAGUCACCAGGGGAACUACUAACCCACAUCUCCCCCUCCCAGCAUAUCCACCAGGCCAUCAGUUCUUCUCUCGGAGGCUUUUUAUUUUUUGCUGAGCAUGUGUAGUUGAAUUCCUGUGAAGUGCCCAAGUCGUGACUGCCCUAAAUAUAACUUAAGUAGAGAGAGGAGGUCUAUUCUAGUUGAUGUUGGAGAUGGGAGGUCUCCUGCCUUGACCUCUUUUCCAAGGUAAUCCCAAGGCCCAUCCCUAGAAUACCAGACUCAAGGGAGGCCAGUAUGAAAGCCCGUGACUGAGGUCCAUCCCUUUGGUUUCCAUCCAGGAAAGCAGGGCUCUGAGAGAUGAGGGGGACAAAGCUUUGGGGACUAGGUGGGAGGUGGUUGAAGCAGCCAUCCUGGAGGAGGGGGUAUGGGCAGGGCAGAGUAUGAGGUAAUUUGAGGGCCUGCAAUGGGGCAGGGGGGUUGACAUGAUUGGGUAGGUCAGGAGUUUGGAAGAGAACCAAUCUGAGAACUGAGAACUGGAGAGUGAGCUGAGGCUCAGUAGAUGAGAAAGGGAGGAACAAAUGUGUCAGCAAAUGGGCACAGCAUGUGCAAAGGCCCUGUGGUGGGACAGAGCAGAGUGAGUAAAGUGAAUCUAAAAGACCAUGUAGUUGGAGCUGUGAGGUGAGUUGGGCGUGGGGGGUGAGGAAGGCUUAGAGCUGAGCUGCACAGGCUCCAUGGGGAGAGUAGCCUGGUCUUACACUGGGGGCAUGGGGAGCCUUGGGAGCCUGAGCAGGGAGACAGUGCCUACCUCUGCCUUCCCGCCUGACUCCCACCUGGCUCGGCCUCUUUUGUGAACUCCCUCCUCGAGUCUCUACCACAGAGCAACUUCUGAAGGUGCCAGGGGUUGAGCCUACUUAGCAGAUGAAGAAACUGAGUCUCUGGAUCUUCUCAUGGCCCCACCCACUUCCUCCUGCCCAGAGAAAAGAGGAACAGGGAACAGACACCCCAUGGUCAGCUGGGAAGAGUCUGGGCUGGGAAUGGGGAGGGUGGGGCCCUCGGAGGUCCACGCCUGGGAUGGGCAGGGGCCCUGCUUCCGUUUAACCACAGCCCUGUGACAUAUCCCAAAAGGGAAGCAGAGGCUGCCUCGCUUCGUCCCCUGUACCCUAGGGAGGGGGCUAGGGAUGCCCGGGGGGGGAGGGCAGAAGCUUGCGGGGAGUCCUCCCUCUCUUCCCCCAGACUACGAGUCUGGCUUCUUGGAGAACUUCAGGGUCAGCUUAACCUAGCUGGGUGACCUCAGUCAAAUCUUGUCACCUUGGCUUCCUCCUCUGUAAAUAGAGAUCAGAACCUCUCCCCAGGCUAUUCUCAGGUUUAGCACACACUGGGGACUCGUGAAUGGCUGCCCCAAUGGUUAUUAAAUCAGCUAAAGGUGUUUUUUCUUCCAGAAAAACAUAGCCAAUUAGACAAAGAACCCAUGUAUUUGACUUUCAACAGAUAUAUGUUGAACACUAUGUUCCAGGCGUUGUUCUGGGUAUUGCGGAGAUAGCAAUGAACAGACCAGAUGCAAAUGCCUGCCAAUGCCCUGCCUGGUCUGUGGCAGACAUCAAUAAUCAAUCGUAUUCCCACUGAAAUCAGAAUUUUCCCCAGAACUCUAUACUGUUUGGGGGAUGGCACUAGAGGGGGACCAACCUGUCAUUCUCAGAGAGGGGCAGCAAAUGGGGACUUGGAAGAUCCCAGUGAGAAUUCCCCUUGGUGGUUUAUGCCAUUUCAGUCUAUUUCAACAAACAUAUAUUGCGCACCUGCUGUGUGGAAGGUGCUGGGCACACAGCAGGUGACCAGGUUGGGCACAGUGCUUGCCCUCAUGAAGCUGGCAUGCUGGUGAUGGAGACAGACAGACAAGUAAACAAAUCAGUAGAUACUUCCAGACAUGGAUAGGUGCUGCAAAAACAUAACCAGAGGGGUGCAGUGGAGGGUAACGGGGCAGGCAUCUGGGGUGGCGCAUGUGGGCAGCGGGCUCUGGGAGGAGGUUGGCAUUUAUUGACGACUAAUUAAUGAGAUGCAUCCACCAAAGGAAACUAUAGGGAAACAGGGCUGUAGGUGGGGGGGAACAGCAAGGGCAAAGGCUUGGAGGUGAGAAUCAGGUUGACCUAUUUAAGAAGCUUGGAAUUCCUGGGGUGCAUGAGUGAUGGGGAGAGAAGUAGGAUAUGGGCUUAAAAGGGGAAGGGGCCAGAAGUCCAGAUCUUGGAGGUCAGGGUCAGGCAUCUGGUCAGGCAUAUCCUUCCGUCCCUGGAGGAUUAAAGCAGGGAGUGACUUAGGUGGGGUAAUAUUUUUGAUCUCUCCAGCUGCCAUGCGGAAAGGUUGUGUAGGGGACAAGGGUGAAGCAGGGAGACCAGGUUGGAAACAACUGCAGAUGUCCAGGCAAGCGAUAAUGGUGGCUUGGACCAGGAUGAUGGCAGUGAACACAGGGCUAGGUGGCCAGGGCUGGCGGGAGGCCCAGGGCUCUGCAUUUGGUUUCAUUUUUCCUUUUUACACAAUCCACUCGGGGCUCUGGGUCACUGGACUUUCCCUAGCACUGCCGGUAGAGUCCACAGCAGGCUGGUGAUCUGGCCUUUCCUCCUUCUGGCCCCCUCCCUGCUGUCCUGGACCUCAACUCCUCUUCUCCAAAGACAAGCCCAGCCCAGUUACUCUGUAAUUGUCUUUUCCAGAGCUCAGACUUUGUGGUCCCCUCAAUAUGCUGGGGGCAGGGGGCUGAGAGUCUGAUCUGACGGGGUCCCUGAUCAUAGAGAAAUACCCAGAGAUGGAUUGCUAGAGGGCAGCCUCUUUCUUGGGAAAGUUCCCCUCUGAUCCUGACUGUUGCUGAAAUAGGGCAGCAGAUAACACGUACUCUCCUUACUUAUUCAGGCCUCAGGUGCUUGGAUUGGCAGUGGUUCGAGAGCGGUGUUGAGCAGGGUUCUGAGACUGCAUCUGGGCUCCUAGGAGGGAGAAUCAUAAUUGAUUAGUAAUGCCUUGUGGGCCCAGGAUAUGUUCAUAAGGCUCAUGUUGGCCUAGUCUUUGUGUGUCCAGCGUGCAGUGGGUCCUCAGGCCUGCCCUUUCCCAUUGUGACCCUAAAUCUUCAAGUACAAUAGAUGCUAUUUGGGAAGUUCCCUUGUGGCCCAGUGGGUUAUCGGUCUGGUGUUGUCUCUGCAGCAGCUUCAGUGGCUGCUGUUGCACAGCUUCAGUCUUUGGCCCAGGAACUUCCACAGGCUGUGCCAAAAAAAAAAAAAAAAAAUACUGUUUGAAAAUACCUGUGGACUUGCUUUCAUUGUCUGUAAAAUGGGGACUUGCUUUCAUUAUCUAUAAAAUGGGAAUGAUGACAACAAUGCCCCAAAGAGGCUGGGGGGCUUCCCUGUUCCCCAGUAGUGACUGGAAACAGAGGCCCUGAGAGCUGCAUUGUCCAAAGUCACGCAGCUGAGAGAUGGCAGAGCUGAGAUUUGAACUCAGGGCCCCUGAGUCAGGGAGGGCAGGCGGAACAGUUGGGCUGGGGAGAGGAAGAUGCUGCCCGGCUCUCCCUGUGACCCUGGCCCCCACUUCUCCUUUCUGCCCAGUGUACUCAGCACACAGGAAGCCUGGCUGGGGCCUCCCUUGCCCAUCCUGUCUGCAGCCGGGUGGACAUGGGGUCCUGGCGUCACCCGCCGCCACCCCGGGCCUCCCACUUCCUGUCUUGUGCAAGAUGAGGCGUCCCCUGCGUGGAAUGGGCAAGCGGCUCUGGCGGAUGGGUGGACGGGUGAGUGGGGCCUCUUGGGCAGGGUCACUGCCCGCAGUUACCGCCAGCAGGCCUGGCCUAGCCCCCACCCCUUCCUCCUCCUUCUCCUCCUCUGUUUCCCCAAAGUACAGACGGCCUUGAGCAAGGGCCUGGGGGACCUGGGAAAUGUGGGGAAGCCACCCAGCCAAUAUCUGGUCCCAACCGAGCAGGCCUGGGCUUGGGCUGUUAUACGGAGGGUCCCAAACAACCUUGAUAACUGUAGUGAUAAUGGCUUCAUUUAUUCAGUACUUGUGACACAGGCAGCAUCUUAUUGAAAUGCAAACAUAUAUAUAAGCACCUACUAUGACUUGCAUGUGCCGUUCUAAGUCUUUUAUAUCUAGUGUCCCAUUGAAUCCCCACAAAAACCGCGUGAGGUUGUUCUGUUUUUUUAAAUGAUCCCUUUCUUCACAUGAGGAAACUGAGGCUCUGAGAGGUGGAGGAACGUGCUCACAGUCAUGUAGCUCAGCCACAUCCCACUGAAGGACCUUGUCUGUAUCCUGGGGCCAGCACUGUUCUGGAAGUUGGGGAGCCCAGAAGGGAGGUGCAGUUGGCCGCUCUCCACCCCAGGAGCUCAUGGCAUGUGGGUGGCCUCUGUGGGACUCAGUUUUCCCACCUGUGCCAGCUCUGGUUUCUCAGGCUUAUGUUUGUGGGUCAGAGAGUCUGGGGCAGUGCCAGGGUCGGCAGCGUGGAGGGGAGAGAGGAUAGAGGACACUUCUGGGAUGGUCACAGUCCCGGGUACUCACAGUGCCCGCCUGGGAGGUCAUACCUGUGGCCUCUGUCCUGAGUCUCUCUGCCCGAGG
rnacentral:lncRNA from 1 species